UCGACGCACAGCGAAAGGUGCUUGCACCUUUCAAGUGAGUGGCGAACGGGUGAGUAACACGUGGACAACCUGCCUCAAGGCUGGGGAUAACAUUUGGAAACAGAUGCUAAUACCGAAUAAAACUUAGUGUCGCAUGACACAAAGUUAAAAGGCGCUUCGGCGUCACCUAGAGAUGGAUCCGCGGUGCAUUAGUUAGUUGGUGGGGUAAAGGCCUACCAAGACAAUGAUGCAUAGCCGAGUUGAGAGACUGAUCGGCCACAUUGGGACUGAGACACGGCCCAAACUCCUACGGGAGGCUGCAGUAGGGAAUCUUCCACAAUGGGCGAAAGCCUGAUGGAGCAACGCCGCGUGUGUGAUGAAGGCUUUCGGGUCGUAAAGCACUGUUGUAUGGGAAGAACAGCUAGAAUAGGAAAUGAUUUUAGUUUGACGGUACCAUACCAGAAAGGGACGGCUAAAUACGUGCCAGCAGCCGCGGUAAUACGUAUGUCCCGAGCGUUAUCCGGAUUUAUUGGGCGUAAAGCGAGCGCAGACGGUUUAUUAAGUCUGAUGUGAAAGCCCGGAGCUCAACUCCGGAAUGGCAUUGGAAACUGGUUAACUUGAGUGCAGUAGAGGUAAGUGGAACUCCAUGUGUAGCGGUGGAAUGCGUAGAUAUAUGGAAGAACACCAGUGGCGAAGGCGGCUUACUGGACUGCAACUGACGUUGAGGCUCGAAAGUGUGGGUAGCAAACAGGAUUAGAUACCCUGGUAGUCCACACCGUAAACGAUGAACACUAUGUGUUAGA
rnacentral:rRNA from 1 species